AGCGAACGCUGGCGGCAGGCUUAACACAUGCAAGUCGAACGCAUCCUUCGGGGUGAGUGGCAGACGGGUGAGCAACACGUGGGAACAUACCUUUUGGUUCGGAAUAACUCAUGGAAACGUGAGCUAAUACCGGAUACGCCCUUUUGGGGAAAGAUUUAUUGCCGAAAGAUUGGCCCGCGUCUGAUUAGCUAGUUGGUGAGGUAAUGGCUCACCAAGGCGACGAUCAGUAGCUGGUCUGAGAGGAUGAUCAGCGACACUGGGACUGAGACACGGCCCAGACUCCUACGGGAGGCAGCAGUGGGGAAUCAUGGACAAUGGGCGCAAGCCUGAUCCGGCCAUGCCGCGUGAGUGAUGAAGGCCUUAGGGUUGUAAAGCUCUUUUAUCCGGGAAGAUAAUGACUGUACCGGAAGAAUAAGCCCCGGCUAACUUCGUGCCAGCCGCCGCCGUAA
rnacentral:rRNA from 1 species